rnacentral:rRNA from 1 species
AACGAACGCUGGCGGCAGGCCUAACACAUGCAAGUCGAGCGAGGACUUCGGUUCUAGCGGCGGACGGGUGAGUAACGCGUGGGAAUGUGCCCUUCUCUACGGAAUAGCUCUGGGAAACUGGGAGUAAUACCGUAUACGCCCUAUUGGGGAAAGAUUUAUCGGAGAAGGAUCAGCCCGCGUGGGAUUAGGUAGUUGGUGGGGUAAUGGCCUACCAAGCCGACGAUCCAUAGCUGGUUAGAGAGGAUGAUCAGCCACACUGGGACUGAGACACGGCCCAGACUCCUACGGGAGGCAGCAGUGGGGAAUCUUAGACAAUGGGGGCAACCAUGAUGGAGCCAUGCCGCGUGAGUGAUGAAGGCCUUAGGGUUGUAAAGCUCUUUCAGCUGGGAAGAUAAUGACGGUACCAGAAGAAGAAGCCACGGCUAACUCCGUG